rnacentral:rRNA from 1 species
AGUGAGCGCUGGCGGUAGGCCUAACACAUGCAAGUCGAACGGCAGCACAGUAAGAGCUUGCUCUUACGGGUGGCGAGUGGCGGACGGGUGAGGAAUACAUCGGAAUCUACUUUUUCGUGGGGGAUAACGUAGGGAAACUUACGCUAAUACCGCAUACGACCUACGGGUGAAAGCAGGGGAUCUUCGGACCUUGCGCGAGUGAAUGAGCCGAUGUCGGAUUAGCUAGUUGGCGGGGUAAAGGCCCACCAAGGCGACGAUCCGUAGCUGGUCUGAGAGGAUGAUCAGCCACACUGGAACUGAGACACGGUCCAGACUCCUACGGGAGGCAGCAGUGGGGAAUAUUGGACAAUGGGCGCAAGCCUGAUCCAGCCAUGCCGCGUGGGUGAAGAAGGCCUUCGGGUUGUAAAGCCCUUUUGUUGGGAAAGAAAAGCAGCAGGUUAAUACCCCGCUGUUCUGACGGUACCCAAAGAAUAAGCACCGGCUAACUUCGUG